rnacentral:rRNA from 1 species
GGAGUCUGGGCCGUAUCUCAGUCCCAAUGUGGCCGUUCAACCUCUCAGUCCGGCUACUGAUCGUCGACUUGGUGAGCCGUUACCUCACCAACUAUCUAAUCAGACGCGAGCCCAUCUCAGAGCACAUUAAGCUUUGACUUUCAGAAGAUGCCUUCCAAAAGUAUCAUGCGGUAUUAGCAGCCGUUUCCAGCUGUUGUCCCCCUCUCUGAGGCAGGUUGCUCACGCGUUACUCACCCGUCCGCCACUAAGUCAUACCUUCCUUUGGCCGAAACCUCAUUCCAAUAUGCUUCGUUCGACUUGCAUGUGUUAGGCACGCCGCCAGCGUUCAUC